rnacentral:rRNA from 1 species
AGAACGAACGCUGGCGGCAGGCCUAACACAUGCAAGUCGAACGAGAAGCCACCUUCGGGUGGUGGACAGUGGCAGACGGGAGAGUAACGCGUGGGAACGUGCCUUUCGGUUCGGGAUAACCCAGGGAAACUUGGGCUAAAUACCGGAUACGCCCUUCGGGGGAAAGAUUCAUUGCCGAAAGAUCGGCCCGCGUCGGAUUAGCUAGUUGGUGGGGUAAAAGCCUACCAAGGCGACGAUCCGUAGCUGGUCUGAGAGGAUGACCAGCCACACUGGGACUGAGACACGGCCCAGACUCCUACGGGAGGCAGCAGUGGGGAAUAUUGGACAAUGGGCGCAAGCCUGAUCCAGCCAUGCCGCGUGGGUGAAGAAGGCCUUAGGGUUGUAAACCCCUUUCAGCGGGGAAGAUAAUGACGGUACCCGCAGAAGAAGUCCCGGCUAACUCCGUGCCAGCAGCCGC